rnacentral:sRNA from 1 species
UUUGACUGUUCUGUCAGCAUGAAAACUACUAGGUUUCUUCCCAGCUUAAAGAGCAACUUUAAAGGAUGCUGUAAUUUGUUAAUUUUGGAAUCACAUUUCAGCUGAUAACUUCUCAAAUAUUUCAGCAUAGGCUUCUGUGCAUGUAGAUAGAUGUAGUGAAAUAAUGACAUAAGAUGGAAAAAUCUCUUCCGUUUGUCUUGGUGUUUGAGAUGGAGUCUCACUCUGUCACCCAAGCUAGAGUGCAGUGGUGUGAUCAUAGCACUGGAGCCUAGAACUCCUGACUGAAGCAAUCAAUCCUCCCACCUCAGCUUCCUGAGUAGCUGAGACUAUAGGUAGUGUGCCAGUAUUUGAAAAAUCCCAAUGUAUCUGAUUCACUGCUGCUGCAGAAUAUUUUCCAAGCUCUGAAUGUAUAUUACAAUUAUUCGGGCCAGGUGAAAUGCCUGAAUAUUUCAGAGACAGCAACUAGCAGUCUGGGAACACUGGGUUGGAGCUAUCAGGCCUGCACAGAAGUAGUCAUGCCCUUUUGUACUAAUGGUGUCGAUGACAUGUUUGAACCUCACUCAUGGAAC